rnacentral:lncRNA from 11 species
CAAAAAGAUGUAGACAUUGGAAGAAGAAAAACAUCAUGUCUUCCACCAGAACUAGAAUCAAGAUGCUGCUUCCACAGUUCCACUUCAGGAAGCUUCAGUGCUUACAAGAAAGGCACACUGCCCAGAAGGAUGCUGGGAACCACGACCAUUAGGUCAAGAAAUUUGUAAGACUACAAAACAGCAACACUUGAGAGCAGAUUUAUUGUGCAAAAAUUAAUCAGUUAACAUGAAUGUGGGAGGUUUCUCAUCUUGGUUUUAUCAGUCCUUUGGCUAAAAUUGUCUGCUUCCUUUUAUAUUAAAUUUAGAAACAAUCUACAACAGCAAAAGGGGUUCAUUUUAACUCAUUUGUCUACAUAGACAUGAAAUAGUUUUUCCAG